rfam:Triticum aestivum genome assembly, contig: Triticum_aestivum_CS42_TGACv1_scaffold_642740_T_5BL-0.101939_2BS-0.099988
GUAGUAUUCCCUCCGUCCCAAAAUUCUUGCCUUACAUUUGUUUAGAUACAGAUGUAUCUAACACUAAAAUGUAACUAGAUACAUCCGUAUUUAGACAAAUUUAAGACAAGAAUUUUGGGACGGAGGGAGUACAAA